CUGAUUCUUGCUGCAACUUCUGCUCCUCUAAGUUCUCUUCUGGAUUUUCUUUCAAGCCAAAAUACUGCUCCAAGUUCGCAAUGUACUCCAAAUUCGCUAUGUGCUCCGAGUUUUCAUUGUGCUCAAUGCUCGCAUUCUGUUCCAAGUUCAAAUCAUGCCCCAGGUUCAUAUUCUGCCCCAAAUUUUCAUGUUCUUGAGCCUGUCCCACUUCAUUUUCAACAAAGCUUUGAUCAACUUCA